rnacentral:rRNA from 1 species
UGGGGAAUCUUGCGCAAUGGACGAAAGUCUGACGCAGCGACGCCGCGUGAGCGAUGAAGGCCUUCGGGUUGUAAAGCUCUGUGGGGAGGGACGAAUAAGUGUUGGCUAACAUCCAACAUGAUGACGGUACCUCCUUAGCAAGCACCGGCUAACUCUGUGCCAGCAGCCGCGGUAAGACAGAGGGUGCAAACGUUGUUCGGAAUCACUGGGCGUAAAGCGCGUGUAGGCGGCUAUGCAAGUCGGAUGUGAAAUCCCACGGCUCAACCAUGGAAGUGCAUUCGAAACUGCGUAGCUAGAGUCCUGGAGAGGAAGGUGGAAUGCUAGGUGUAGAGGUGAAAUUCGUAGAUAUCUAGCGGAACACCGGUGGCGAAGGCGGCCUUCUGGACAGUGACUGACGCUGGAACGCGAAAGCGUGGGGAGCAAACAGG